CAGCAGCCGCGGUAAUACGUAGGGUGCAAGCGUUAAUCGGAAUUACUGGGCGUAAAGCGUGCGCAGGCGGUUUGUUAAGACAGAUGUGAAAUCCCCGGGCUCAACCUGGGAACUGCAUUUGUGACUGGCAAGCUAGAGUAUGGCAGAGGGGGGUGGAAUUCCGCGUGUAGCAGUGAAAUGCGUAGAUAUGCGGAGGAACACCGAUGGCGAAGGCAGCCCCCUGGGCCAAUACUGACGCUCAUGCACGAAAGCGUGGGGAGCAAACAGGAUUAGAUACCCCCGUAGUCCCUGUCUCUUAUAC
rnacentral:rRNA from 1 species